GUGGGGAAUAUUGGGCAAUGGGGGAAACCCUGACCCAGCAACGCCGCGUGAAGGAAGAAGGCCUUCGGGUUGUAAACUUCUUUUACCAGGGACGAAGGACGUGACGGUACCUGGCGAAAAAGCAACGGCUAACUACGUGCCAGCAGCCGCGGUAAUACGUAGGUUGCAAGCGUUGUCCGGAUUUACUGGGUGUAAAGGGCGUGUAGGCGGAGAUGCAAGUUGGGAGUGAAAUCCAUGGGCUCAACCCAUGAACUGCUCUCAAAACUGUAUCCCUUGAGUAUCGGAGAGGCAAGCGGAAUUCCUAGUGUAGCGGUGAAAUGCGUAGAUAUUAGGAGGAACACCAGUGGCGAAGGCGGCUUGCUGGACGACAACUGACGCUGAGGCGCGAAAGCGUGGGGAGCAAACAGGA
rnacentral:rRNA from 1 species